UGUUAAAAUUUUCAUUUAUUUCUAUCAUUAAAAACUAACAUGACUAACAUGAUAAGCAAACAACGACACGUGGUGUGCUACAUAUACCUCAUGGUGACGCAUAAAAAUUAAUUUUGAAUAGUAGGAAACGAUAAAAUUUUUUAACA
rfam:Gossypium arboreum cultivar AKA8401 contig_7257_1, whole genome shotgun sequence.